rnacentral:rRNA from 1 species
UGGGGAAUAUUGCACAAUGGGCGCAAGCCUGAUGCAGCCAUGCCGCGUGUGUGAAGAAGGCCUUCGGGUUGUAAAGCACUUUCAGCGAGGAGGAAGGUGGUGGACUUAAUACGUUCAUCAAUUGACGUUACUCGCAGAAGAAGCACCGGCUAACUCCGUGCCAGCAGCCGCGGUAAUACGGAGGGUGCAAGCGUUAAUCGGAAUUACUGGGCGUAAAGCGCACGCAGGCGGUUUGUUAAGUCAGAUGUGAAAUCCCCGGGCUCAACCUGGGAACUGCAUUUGAACUGGCAAGCUAGAGUCUCGUAGAGGGGGUAGAAUUCCAGGUGUAGCGGUGAAAUGCGUAGAGAUCUGGAGGAAUACCGGU